AGGACGAACGCUGGCGGCGUGCCUAACACAUGCAAGUGGAGCGACGAACCAGGCUUCGGCCUGGGGCAGAGCCGCGAACGGGUGAGUAACACGUGGGUAACCUGCCCUGAUGAUUGGGACAACCCGAGGAAACUCGGGCUAAUACCAAAUGUGCCCUCUGGCCUCAAGGCCUCUGGGGAAAGGAAGCUUCGGCCUCCGCAUUGGGAUGGGCCCGCGGCCCAUUAGCUUGUUGGUGAGGUAACGGCUCACCAAGGCUACGAUGGGUAGCUGGUCUGAGAGGACGAUCAGCCACACUGGGACUGAGACACGGCCCAGACUCCUACGGGAGGCAGCAGUGGGGAAUAUUGGACAAUGGGGGAAACCCUGAUCCAGCGACGCCGCGUGUGUGAAGAAGGCCUGCGGGUUGUAAAGCGACUUUUAGUGGGGAUGAAAAGCCUAGGGUUAACACCUCUGGGUCUUGACCUAACCACAGAAAAACGCACCGGCUAACUCUGUGCCAGCAGCCGCGGUAAUCGUA
rnacentral:rRNA from 1 species